rnacentral:rRNA from 1 species
UUCUUGGAGAGUUUGAUCCUGGCUCAGGACGAACGCUGGCGGCGUGCCUAAUACAUGCAAGUCGAGCGAAUCUUGAGGUGCUUGCACCUCUUGGUUAGCGGCGGACGGGUGAGUAACACGUGGGCAACCUGCCUGUAAGACUGGGAUAACACCGGGAAACCGGUGCUAAUACCGGAUAAUCCUUUUCCUCUCAUGAGGAAAAGCUGAAAGUCGGUUUACGCUGACACUUACAGAUGGGCCCGCGGCGCAUUAGCUAGUUGGUGAGGUAACGGCUCACCAAGGCGACGAUGCGUA